GCGGCAUCUAUUCUGCACCGUGGUUACAUGUCAGUAACUAAACACACUCGUGUACUCCAGCGGAUUUAACCAGUGAAAUAGAUUCCUAUUGCUGAAGCUUGGGGAAAGUGGGUGGGGGUGUUUCCGUUCGAAACACUUUUUCUUAAAACACCCUGAAACUUUUCAGAUUAUAUAUAAAUAUAAACCAGUAGAAACAGUUCAAACAGGCUUGGAAGCUAAACCACACAUGAAGACCAGGAGCUGGACUUGAUUGUCAGAGGCUAUUUGAAGCACAAACCAUUGGGAGCCUUUAAUGGGUAGUGGGAGCUUAUCUCCAUUACCACCCUUUGAUAUAACCUUGUAGUAUAUGAUAUUAGCAUGUUAGAUUUAGUUAAUGGUAGUUGUGAAUGUGGAUGCAAAGUCAUAUUGAGAAUCACCAAUAUUAAUUAAAUCAAUACUAGAAAUUGACUGUCAUAUAUCCCUCUCUCUCAGCAGCAUCUCUCUAAUUAAAAUGAAUGGUAUCAGUGGAACAGUUCUCGGG